AAUAGAUACCCAGGUAGUCCACGCCGUAAACGAUGAUCACUAGACGUUGGUUCCGCUCUGCGGGAUCAGUGUCGUAGCUAACGCGAUAAGUGAUCCGCCUGGGGAGUACGGUCGCAAGAUUAAAACUUAAAGAAAUUGACGGGGGUCCGCACAAGCGGUGGAACAUGUGGUUUAAUUCGACACUACGCGAGGAACCUUACCUAGGCUUGACAUGCAUAUGACCGCUCUAGAGAUAGAGUUUUUCGGGGGUAACCUCGAACAUUUGCACAGGUGCUGCAUGGCUGUCGUCAGCUCGUGUCGUGAGAUGUUGGGUUAAGUCCUUUAACGAGCGCAACUCCUAUCGUCAGUUGCUACUUCGCAAGAAGGCACUCUGAUGAGACUGCCUGGGGAAACCAGGAGGAAGGCGGGAAUGACGUCAAGUCCGCAUGGUCCUUAUGCCUAGGGCUACACACGUGUUACAAUGGUCGGUACAAAGGGCUGCAAGCUCGCAAGAGUAAGCGAAUCCCAUAAAGCCGAUCU
rnacentral:rRNA from 1 species